AUGCUUCAAGAAUACAACAAAGAGCCAUUCGUCAGAUUUAUUUAUGCCAUGAACGAAGAACACAGAAAAGAUCUCGACUGCAAGAUGACUCAAAACUCCGCUGUUAAUUUCUGUCAUGUAUUGGCUAUGGAAAACCUAGCUAGAGCUAUAUUAUUAGUGGGGUUUCGAGAUCGUCAUCUAAUUGUAUUAGUUGUGGUUGAUCUCCUUCCUUGUAAUAUGAAAUCUUUUUUUUUUUUUUCAAAACAAACAAACUGAGAUUGGCCACCUGA
rnacentral:lncRNA from 1 species